UUUUGUGGUUCAAACUGGUAUACCUUCUUUCAUCAGGAAUAAACUGUACUGAAAGGAAAUGAAUCACAGGAGGUCAAGGUGAACUAAUACAGGGAACUCCUGAGAUUCCAUGGAACCUGCUGGCUGACUGCUUUUAACUUCCAUGCCCAUGUAGCUUUUGCUGGCUCACGCUUCCAUGAACUGCUUUUGUAACUACGUUAGGAACUGCUUUUACCUGUUAACAGAUCCCUGUUAGAAUGAUGAAGAUUUCCCUACAUUGUCAUCAUUCUCCAAAACACCCA